GCCCUUGUAGCUCAACCAGGUAGAGCAAUUCCCUUUUAAGGAAGAGGUUCCGCGUUCGAUUCGCGGCAGGGGCA
rnacentral:tRNA from 1 species